GCCAGUAGCAUAUGCUUGUCUCAAAGAUUAAGCCAUGCAUGUCUAAGUACACGCCUCAACACGGCGAGACUGCGAAUGGCUCAUUAAAUCAGUUAUGGUUCCUUAGAUCGUACAAUCCUACUUGGAUAACUGUGGCAAUUCUAGAGCUAAUACAUGCAACACAGCUCCGACCCGCGAGGGGAAGAGCGCUUUUGUUAGCCCAAAACCAAUCCGGGUUCGCCCGUCAAACGGCGGCCCGGCCCAACGUGGUGACUCCGAACAACUUUGUGCCGAUCGCAUGCCCUAGCGGCGGCGACGCAUCUUUCAAGUGUCUGCCCUAUCAACUUUCGAUGGUACGUGCUAUGCCUACCAUGGUGAUAACGGGUAACGGGGAAUCAGGGUUCGGUUCCGGAGAGGGAGCAUGAGAUACGGCUACCACAUCCAAGGAAGGCAGCAGGCGCGCAAAUUACCCACUCCCGACACGGGGAGGUAGUGACGAAAAAUAACAAUACGGGACUCUUUCGAGGCCUCGUAAUUGGAAUGAGUACACUUUAAAUCCUUUAACGAGGAUCCAUUGGAGGCAAGUCU
rnacentral:rRNA from 1 species